UACGAAGGGGGCUAGCGUUGCUCGGAAUUACUGGGCGUAAAGGGCGCGUAGGCGGACAGUUAAGUCAGAGGUGAAAGCCCAGGGCUCAACCCUGGAAUUGCCUUUGAUACUGGCUGUCUUGAGUACGGGAGAGGUGAGUGGAACUCCGAGUGUAGAGGUGAAAUUCGUAGAUAUUCGGAAGAACACCAGUGGCGAAGGCGACUCACUGGCCCGUUACUGACGCUGAGGCGCGAAAGCGUGGGGAGCGAACAGG
rnacentral:rRNA from 1 species